rnacentral:lncRNA from 1 species
GGCCAACCCAGGGGAGCUCAGGUGCAUGCAGUGCAGCUGAAUGACCGGAAGGGAUAGAGCCAGGAUCCACCCCUUCCCAGACCUCAUUUAAGGGCCGGCAGUGGAAGCAAAAACAUCUGUGUACUCGAGUCCUCCUGAAGAGAAUCCUUGUCUUGGCCUGAGUAGAGAGAGCACUUGCAGAACUGGUAGCUGUUUCCUGUUGAUUGUGCUUCGUGAAAUCAGUUCCUAUACAUCUUCAACUGUGCGCUGUCUUUAUCUUGAACUGAAGCAAACAGGAAAGUUUCCCAUUAGAAUGCAACUCCGAUGGACUGGAUAGCUGUGUGCCCACCCUUGAAGCUGUAAGCAUCCUGGACACCCAUUCCAGAAGGAUGUUUUUGUCAGAUGGAGAUUCCACUUUAGGAAAAUAUUAAAACAAAGAUUUCAAAGGGGCUUCAGAAAAUGCUUAAAGGCCGUAGACCAAAUGCUGUUUUGCUGUCUGAAGAGAUCUCAGCAAAGGGGCAGUAGUUAAAGAGGAACGAUUACAUUGUAAAAAGCCAUAAAACCUUCCAGGAUUCAGAGUCUCAGGGGAUCUUACCUAUCCCAGAUGAGCAUUGGUCAACAGCCUGGAUUCCAUAUGUCUCGAGACCAUGGGAGGUUUGAAUGACAGAAUUUGAGCCUGGGGACAAAGAAACCGGGACGAAAACCUUGCUGCUUCACUUCCCCUCACUAGCAGUGCAUUGCAUUGUUGCUGAAAUGCAUGCAAGCAUCUGGAAUUUAGCUCCUGUCUCAGUUGCCAUCUGUUCAGGCAGUAGGGAGGCGAUAAGAGGUUUGUUUCUUGGUGUCCACAGGCUAAUCUAGAUACACCCAGUCUAAUCAUUUUUAGUAGAGUCAAUUCCUGCUGAUUGAUUUCUUGUAUACUUUACAGAUUGUUUCUAUUUUCUUGAAACACCACUAUAUGAAUUUGAACAUGCCGUAUAGUCAGUGAUAGACAAUACCACUUUGACAUCUUCAGUUGUCUGCACUUUAAUUUACUGGCUACUCUUAUUCCUCUUUGCUUAUGGCUCC